UACAUAGGUUGCAAGCGUUAUUUGGAUUUAUUGGGCGUAAAGCAAGCGCAGGCGGACGAGUAAGUUUUGUGUUAAAAACAGCAGCUCAACUGUUGUUUGCGCCGAAUACUGCUUGUUUAGAAUAUGGUAGAAAGUUUUGGAAUUGAAUAUGGAGCGGUGGAAUGUGUAGAUAUAUUUAAGAACACCAGAGGCGAAGGCGGAAACUUAGGCCGCUAUUGACGCUUAGGCUUGAAAGUGUGGGGAGCAAAUG
rnacentral:rRNA from 1 species